rnacentral:rRNA from 1 species
AUUGAACGCUGGCGGCAUGCCUUACACAUGCAAGUCGAACGGCAGCACGGGGCAACCUGGUGGCGAGUGGCGAAAGGGUGAGUAAUGCAUCGGAACGUACCUUUCAGUGGGGGAUAACGUAGCGAAAGUUACGCUAAUACCGCAUAUUCUGUGAGCAGGAAAGCAGGGGAUCGCAAGACCUUGCGAUGAAUUAGCGGCCGAGGGCAGAUUAGCUAGUUGGUGAGGUAAAGGCUCACCAAGGCGACGAUCUGUAGCGGGUCUGAGAGGAUGAUCCGCCACACUGGAACUGAGACACGGUCCAGACUCCUACGGGAGGCAGCAGUGGGGAAUUUUGGACAAUGGGGGCAACCCUGAUCCAGCCAUGCCGCAUGAGUGAAGAAGGCCUUCGGGUUGUAAAGCUCUUUCGGCCGGGAAGAAAUCGCACGGGCUAAUACCCUGUGUGGAUGACGGUACCGGAAUAAGAAGCACCGGCUAACUACGUGCCAGCAGCCGCCGCAGUAA